AGUGGGGGAUAACCCUCCGAAAGGAGGGCUAAUACCGCAUAAUAUCUUCUCCUCCAAAAGAGGUAAAGAUUAAAGAUGGCCUCUAUACUAUGCUAUCACUUCAGGAUGAGCCCGCGUCCUAUUAGUUAGUUGGUGGGGUAAUGGCCUACCAAGACCACAAUGGGUAGCCGGUCUGAGAGGAUGUACGGCCACACUGGGACUGAGAUACGGCCCAGACUCCUACGGGAGGCAGCAGUGGGGAAUAUUGCGCAAUGGGGGAAACCCUGACGCAGCGACGCCGCGUGGAUGAUGAAGGCCCUUGGGUUGUAAAAUCCUGUUCUGGGGGAAGAAAGCUUAAAGGUCCAAUAAACCCUUAAGUCUGACGUACCCCA
rnacentral:rRNA from 1 species